rnacentral:tRNA from 1 species
AGUUCUAUAGUGGAAACUAAGACGUUGGGUUGCAAACUCAAAAAUGUGAGAAUAUCACUAGGACUU